rnacentral:lncRNA from 1 species
GGUGCUGCUGAACCAAGGUGUGCCCCCACACAGGUGUAUGCCCCAGCCCCGCAAUGUGAGCAGUAGAAGAGGGAGGCAGCCCUGACACCAGCUGCAGGUUUCAUGGUGUCCCUUCUCUGCUGCUGAUCCAAACAUGCACUAUCACAAGCAGGAUUUAAUCACCCCAAACAAGCUACUUUAACAACACACUUGUUCAAUUCUGUCUGCUGACCGAGCUUCAUUUGAAUAUUAUUAUUAUUCUCUACUGGAUGACCAAUUAUUAUUUCUACACUUACACUCUCCCUCCAAAAAAAAUGUUUGGGUCAGCUGGUUCUCCUAGCUGUAUCCCUGCCAUUUCCCUGUGCUCCUGAAACAUGUGUGUACCUACAAGCCUUGCUGGGUUUGCAGAGAUGCAAACAAUUUGGAGAUGGACUCAGCCUCUCUGUGAGUGGCUUUAUUGGCUUGCGGGAGCUUGGACCUAUUCUUUUUGAGCAUCACUGAUGAUUGGACUAAAACCCAGUGGAGACAGAUUAAUGGGGAACAGAUGGAUGUAGAGCUCAGAAGGUUUGCCAAGGAAAUAAAUUCUUUGGAUAAUAAGGUUUGUGUCUGGGAUGCAUGUAGAGGCUUGGAGUUAAAGGUGAACAAUCUGAUAUCAUCCUUAACGGGAAUAUUGGAGCAGCAAAAUUCUGCAGUCAGAGAGACAUGAUACCAGGUCAAGAAGGUGAUGAGAGUAAGUAUUCAGUUAAAGACACCCCAGUAAUGGUCUUUCAUAGUCUACAUAUCAAUGCAAAAGUACACUCAGGCAUGUGGUAGUGCUGCUGCUGCCAACCAUUCGAUGUGGAAGUGGAGCAGUGAUUCAGCAUUCAGACAGAGCCAUCUCAAGAUUGAGAAGAGAAUCUGUUGUCUCUGCUCAGACAAAAUGACCCGAC